UAGCAUUUCUCCUUUUUCAGUCUCAUCAUGCCUGAGAACAAUGGAACUCUGACUCCAACUCCAGGUCUUUUCAAACCUCUUUUCUCAACUUCUCCCACUAUUACUACCGUUAAAUUGGAAGGUAGUAGUAAUUAUAUCUCCCGGUAUGCUUCAGUAGAGUAUGAUUUAUGGGACAAGAAUAUGAUGACCAUUAAUUAAAAAUGCUGCUGAUUUUGUUGCUCAGCGGGAGUUUGGCUUAGUUUGUUGUUUACGCAGAGAUCUGUGGUUUAAAGCAAUCUCCUAGGGCAUGGUUUGGAAGAUUCAGUGCUGUUGUGAAACAAUUUGGAAUGAACCGAAGUGAAAUUGAUCAUUCAGUAUUUCACCGACAUGGAGAUCAUAGCAAGUGUAUCUACUUAGUGGCCUAUGUUGAUGACAAGUGAUAACAGGUAUAUCAAGGGAACUCCUGGCCAAGGCUUGUUGUAUGAAGACAGGGAUCACUGACAAAUUGUUGGAUACUCUAAUGCAGACUGGACAGGUUCUCGCUCUGAUAGACGGUCCACUUUUGAGUUGUGUUCAGAUUGGUGGAAAUUUGAUAUCUUGGAAGAGUAAAAAACAAGUUGUAGAUCGAGUGUAGAAGCAGAAUACCAAGCCAUGGCAUUGGCUACGUGUGAACUUAUUUGGCUAAAGUAACUCCUUCAAGAAUUAAAAUAUGGAGAAAUCAAAUAUAUGAAAUUGAUUUGUAAUAAUCAAGCAUCACUUCAUAUUACCUCUAAUCCAGUGUUUCAUGAAAGGACAAAACAUAUAGAGAUAGAUUGCCACUUCAUCAGAUAGAAGAUUGAAUCAGGAUGUAUUUCUACCUCUUUUGUUGGUUCGAAUGACCAAUUAGCGGACAUCCUUACAAUGUCUCUUAGAGGUCCCCGCAUUGAAUACAUUUAUAACAAGCUAGGAGCAUAUGACGUGUAUGCCUCCAACUUCAAGGGGAGUGUUAGAACCUUGUAAUUAUUAGAAUAUAUUGUGCAUAUAUUAGGGUGAUAUUUAGUCAUAAUUAGAGAUACUUAGGAGAUUAUUUUCCUUUUUAAAUUAUAGACUUUGUACUAUAUAUACCCUAAACUCAUAUGAGGAAUCGAUCAAGCCGAUUGCUUGUUUUCAAA